CCUACGGGAGUCAGCAGUGAGGAAUAUUGGUCAAUGGACGAGAGUCUGAACCAGCCAAGUAGCGUGAAGGAUGACUGCCCUAUGGGUUGUAAACUUCUUUUAUAAAGGAAUAAAACGAGGCACGUGUGCCUUUUUGCAUGUACUUUAUGAAUAAGGCUCGGCUAAUUCCGUGCCAGCAGCCGCCGUAAUACGGAGGACUCGAGCGUUAUCCGGAUUUAUUGGGUUUAAAGGGAGCGUAGAUGGGUUGUUAAGUCAGUUGGGAAAGUUUGUGGCUCAACCGUAAAAUUGCAUUUGAUACUGGCAGUCUUGAGUGCAGUUGAGGUAGGCGGAAUUCGUGGUGUAGCGGUGAAAUGCUUAGAUAUCACGAAGAACCCCGAUUGCGAAGGCAGCUUACUAGACUGUGACUGACAUUGAUGCUCGAAAGUGUGGGUAUCAAACAGGAUUAGAUACCCUAGUAGUC
rnacentral:rRNA from 1 species